rnacentral:lncRNA from 1 species
AAUUGGAAACCUAUUGUUGUUUAUAUUUUGUAGCUAUCUCUUCCAAAUGCAUGACAAGGAAGUUCUCAUCAAGAAGGCAAGGCAAUACAGAAGUGUUCCACACAGGGACAUUGCAAAGACAAGCAAGUCAUCACACUGGAGAUUUUUCCUUCCAGGAAAUUGAGAAAGAUUUUCAGGACUUUGAGUUUCAGUGGCAAGAAGAUGAAAGAAAUGGCCAUGAAGCACUCAUGACAGAGAUAAAAAAGUUGACAGGUAAUACAGACUGAUAUGAUCAAAGGCAUGCUGGAAACAAACCUAUUAAAGAUCAGCUUGGAUCAAGCUUUCAUUCACAUCUGCCUGAACUGCAUAUAUUGCAGAGCAAAGGGAAAAUUGAUAGUCAAGAUGAGAAGUCUGUCAAUGAUGCUUCCUCAGUUUCAGCAUCCCAAAGAAUUUCUUGUAUUCCUAAAACCCAUAUUUCUAAUAAGUAUGGGAAUAAUUUCCUCCAGGAAGCACACAUGAGAGAAAAAUCUUUCCAAUGUAAUGAGAGUGGCAAAGCCUUUAAUUGUAGCUCACUGUUAAAAAAAUGUCAGAUAAUCCAUUUAGGAGAGAAAAAAUAUAAAUGUGAUAUAUGUGGCAAGGUCUUUAAUCAGAAGCGAUACCUUGCAUACCAUCAUAGAUGUCACACUGGUGAGAAACCUUACAAGUGUAAUCAGUGUGGCAAGACCUUCAGUUACAAGUCAUCCCUUGUAAUUCACAAGGCAAUUCAUACUGGAGAGAAACCUCACAAGUGUAAUGAAUGUGGCAAGGUUUUUAAUCAAAAAGCAUAUCUUGCAAGUCAUCAUAGACUUCAUACUGGAGAGAAACCUUACAAAUGUGAAGAAUGUGACAAAGUUUUUAGUCGCUAAUCACACCUUGAAAGACAUAGGAGAAUUCAUACUGGAGAGAAACCGUACAAAUGUAAGGUUUGUGACAAGGCUUUCAGACGUGAUUCACACCUGGCACAACAUAUUGUAAUUCACACUGGAGAGAAACCUUACAAGUGUAAUGAGUGUGGCAAGACCUUUGUUCAAAAUUCAUCUCUUGUAAUGCAUAAGGUCAUUCAUACUGGAGAGAAAUGUUACAAGUGUAAUGAAUGUGGCAAGGUUUUUAAUCACAAAUCAAACCUUGCAUGUCAUCAUAGACUUCAUACUGGAGAGAAACCUUACAAGUGUAAUGAAUGUGGCAAGGUUUUUAAUUGAAAAUCAAACCUUGAACAUCAUCAUAGAGUUCAUAUCGGAGAAAAACCUUACAAAUGUGAAGAAUGUGACAAAGUUUUCAAUUUCAAUUCACGCCUUGAAAUACAUAGGAGAGUUCAUACUGGAGAGAAACCAUAGAAAUGUAAGGUUUGUGACAAGGCAUUCGGGUGUGAUUCACACCUGGCACAACAUACUAGAAUUCACACUGGAGAGAAACCGUGCAAGUGUGAUGAGUGUGACAGAGCCUUCAGUGGUCAGUCAACACUUAUUCACCAUCAAGCAAUCCAUGUCAUAGGGAAACUUUACUAAUGUAAUGAUUGUCACAAAGUCCUCAGUAAUGCUACAACCAUUGCAAAUUAUUGGAGAAUGCAUAAUGAAGUGAGAACUUACAAGUGUUAUAAAUGUGGCAAAUUUUUCAGACUUCGUUCAUACCUUGCAGUUUAUCAGCGAACUCAUACUGGAGAGAAACCUUACAAAUGUGAUGAUUGUGGCAAGGUCUUCAGUCAAGCUUCAUCUUAUGCAAAACACAGGUGAAUUCAUACAAGAAAGAAACCUCACAAGGGUGAUGAUUGUGUCAAAGCCUUUAUUUCAGGUUCAUGCCUCAUUACACAUCAGAGAAUCCAUACUAGACAGAGAUCUUACAAAAGUCAUAUGUGUGGCAAGAUCUUUAGUCUGAGGUCACUCCUUGCAGGACAUCAGGAAAUUCAUUUUUGAGGUAAUAAUUUCAAAUGCAAUGAGUAUAGCAAACCAUC